rnacentral:misc_RNA from 1 species
GAUGAAGAACGUAGCGAAAUGCGAUAAGUAAUGUGAAUUGCAGAAUUCAGUGAAUCAUCGAAUCUUUGAACGCACAUUGCGCCCGUCAGUAUUCUGGCGGGCAUGCCUGUUCGAGCGUCAUUACGCCCCUCAAGUCCCCUGUGGACUUGGUGUUGGGGAUCGGCGAGGCUGGUUUUCCAGCACAGCCGUCCCUUAAAUUAAUUGGCGGUCUCGCCGUGGCCCUCCUCUGCGCAGUAGUAAAACACUCGCAACAGGAGCCCGGCGCGGUCCACUGCCGUAAAUCCCCCCAACUUUUUAUAGUUGACCUCGAAUCAGGUAGGACUACCCGCUGAACUUAAGCAUAUCAAUAAGCGGAGGA